GGGCACUUGGUGUAGAUGGUUAUCACGCUCGCUUAGCAUCUCGUUUGCGAGAGGGGACCGGUUCAAUUCCGGUAGUGUCCA
rnacentral:tRNA from 1 species